CCUACGGGAGGCAGCAGUGAGGACUAUUGGUCAAUGGACGAGAGUCUGAACCAGCCAAGUAGCGUGAAGGAUGACUGCCCUAUGGGUUGUAAACUUCUUUUAUAUGGGAAUAAAACGUUCCACGUGUGGGAUUUUGUAUGUACCAUAUGAAUAAGGAUCGGCUAACUCCGUGCCAGCAGCCGCGGUAAUACGGAGGAUCCGAGCGUUAUCCGGAUUUAUUGGGUUUAAAGGGAGCGUAGGUGGAUUGUUAAGUCAGUUGUGAAAGUUUGCGGCUCAACCGUAAAAUUGCAGUUGAAACUGGCAGUCUUGAGUACAGUAGAGGUGGGCGGAAUUCGUGGUGUAGCGGUGAAAUGCUUAGAUAUCACGAAGAACUCCGAUUGCGAAGGCAGUUCACUGGACUGCAACUGACACUGAGGCGCGAAAGUGUGGGUAUCAAACAGGAUUAGAUACCCCAGUAGUC
rnacentral:rRNA from 1 species